rnacentral:rRNA from 1 species
GUGAGGAAUAUUGGUCAAUGGACGGAAGUCUGAACCAGCCAAGUCGCGUGAAGGAUGAAGGUUCUAUGGAUUGUAAACUUCUUUUGUCUGAGGGUAAAAAAGCGGACGUGUCCGUUCUUGCAAGUAUCAGACGAAUAAGCAUCGGCUAACUCCGUGCCAGCAGCCGCGGUAAUACGGAGGAUGCGAGCGUUAUCCGGAUUUAUUGGGUUUAAAGGGUGCGUAGGCGGGUUGCUAAGUCAGUGGUAAAAGCGUGUGGCUCAACCAUACCAAGCCAUUGAAACUGGUGAUCUUGAGUGUAAACGAGGUAGGCGGAAUGUGACGUGUAGCGGUGAAAUGCUUAGAUAUGUCACAGAACCCCGAUUGCGAAGGCAGCUUACCAGCAUACAACUGACGCUGAGGCACGAAAGCGUGGGUAUCAAACAGGAUUAGAAACCCCUGUAGUCC